UACGAAGGGGGGCUAGCGUUGUUCGGAAUUACUGGGCGUAAAGGGCGCGUAGGCGGUGUGUCAAGUCAGGCGUGAAAGCCCUGGGCUCAACCCAGGAAGUGCAUUCGAAACUGGCGCGCUUGAAUAUGGAAGAGGGUCGCGGAAUUCCCGGUGUAGAGGUGAAAUUCGUAGAUAGUCGGGAGGAACACCAGUGGCGAAGGCGGCGACCUGGGCCAAUAUUGGACGCUGAG
rnacentral:rRNA from 1 species